AACUUUUAACAAUGGAUCACUUGGUUCUCGCAUCGAUGAAGAACGUGGCAAACUGCGAAAAGUAGUGCGAAUUGCAUAAAUCGAGAGUCAUCGAAUCUUUGAACGCAUCUUGCGCCCUGUUGUUUCACGACGCAGGGCGUGCCUGUUUGAGACGAUUACGGAGGUCGUCUGUGAGGACGGUGUUGGGUGGGCCGAGCACGUGCUUGGACGCCUGAAAUAGAUCAAAAGGGAGGGGACGUACGUGCUCGUCGCCGUGUUGACGCUUUUGCGAAUAUAACGGUAGUAACGCCACGACAAUCCCUCCCUCCAAUCAUAUCCAGAUCAAAUCAGGCACGACUACCCGCUGAACUUAAGCAUAUCAAUAAGCGGAGGCU
rnacentral:misc_RNA from 1 species